UACAGAGGGUGCGAGCGUUAAUCGGAAUUACUGGGCGUAAAGGGUGUGUAGGUGGUAGUGUAAGUUAGAUGUGAAAUCCCCGGGCUCAACCUGGGAACUGCGUUUAAGACUGCACAACUAGAGUACUGUAGAGGAUAGUGGAAUUUCCAGUGUAGCGGUGAAAUGCGUAGAUAUUGGAAGGAACACCAGUGGCGAAGGCGACUAUCUGGAUAGAUACUGACACUGAGACACGAAAGCGUGGGGAGCAAACAGG
rnacentral:rRNA from 1 species